rnacentral:misc_RNA from 1 species
UUUCCGUAGGUGAACCCGCGGAAGGAUCAUUAUCAUGUAAUUCAGUCCCCUUGGCUGUGUUAUAUAUAUACCCACUCUGUGUACCUUCUCCUGUUGCUUCCGCUGGGUGUGUAAUUCGCCCGGCGGAAGGGUAAAAAUAACCUCUGAGUAUUGAUGAAAUCUCUGUCUGAACCUAAUAGAAAGAAAAAUGUUAAAACUUUCAGCAACGGAUCUCUUGGUUCUC